CUGUUUGAUCAUCUCGCAAUUAAGGUUUAAUCAUUAAGGGCAGAUUAGUAUUUUUCAUUCUUGUCACAGGGGUAAUUCAGACAUUUACUAAAAACAAGGAAAUUACGCGAGUUCGUUAUCUCCAGCAUCCCGAGUAGUAAUGCUCGAAACAUAGAUGAUGUCGAAUUUGAAGAUGCUGAGGUCGAUACCGGACAUGAUGAUGCAGAGCAAUAUCGGAAUCCGACAUCAGACAACAACGUUACCUUAGACGAUCAGACUAAUGAAAGAUUGUAUAUCCCAGAGGUAGCUUCAUCAUGUGUUCCUGUUAUUGGAAUGGAGUUCUCUUCCAUAGAACAAGCAUAUGUUUUUUAUCAGACAUAUGCCAAGAAGGCAGGGUUCUCCGCUCGAAAAGGAGGUGAACAUCAUGUUGGUGGUAUUAUCAAGUCUAAAUAUUUUGUGUGUUCAAAAGAGGGGCAUAAACCACAGGUAUUUGAUGAGAAUUAUUCGAAGUUGUCUAAGCCAUAUAAACGUAGGAACAGACCGACUAUU